rnacentral:tRNA from 1 species
GCUCUUGAAGGAUAACAGCUAAUCCAUU